ensembl:lncRNA
UGCCAGCACAUGGGAGAGAAGCAGCCAAAUGGUAGAACAAAGCACCACAGUGACUUUUCUGAUACUCUGCAAAUCAUGAUUUUUUUCCCCAGCCUAUAAUUUCUGUUCUGAGACAUGAUUUAGAGAUCUCUUUGUUACCAUCACACAAGUCACUGUCCUCCAGGACUCCAAAGGUGACUUGGCUCAGGUUGAGAUUUGCAGGGAUGGAGGCUACAAUUUUCCUGGCAGCUGCCUCCAGCUAAUGGUAUCCUGUCCAUCCAGGGGAACAUGGGCACCUUCAGCAUACCUCUAGUGCCAGUCAGCCCUCCUGUUACCCAGCUUGGGGUAUAGCUGCUGUGCUUCUUUCCUAAAUACCCACAGUGUGAAUCCAGAUCUCCUCCCCGUGCAGUGUAAGAAACCAGUCCAGGCAUGCUCUCAAGCCUUCAGCCAGAAAGCCAGGAUGGCCACAGGACUCAUUACCCUCGCAGCAAAACAUCAGAGAUGUCUUUAUUAAAUUAGCCUUUCUCAGAAAGGCUUUCCCAAACAUGGAGAGCAGCAGAAAGCCUCAAAGAAGCCUAUUCCCUGAUCUCCUUCCAAAGUCACCUACUUAAAGGAUCAUCUCAUAAUGGGGACUGAUUGCCUGUUUGAUCUCAGCGAGCCUCAGUUUCACAGGAAACCACACAGGUACCUCAGGGCCACCGCAGCAACACUUAUGACUGGGAGUAUUUGUGCAUACAUGGAUUCUCGCACAGUAUUUGUUCUGCAGUUAAACACCUUAAAUAACCCUUAGAAAUUAUUCUGGCUGUAUUUAAAAGUGGUAGCGUAGCAACUGAUUUUUUUUUUUUCCAAACAGUGAGGGAAGUGAGUUCUAAUCCUCUUGAGGGUGCUGUUUAUUAAAAUUUCCACCAUGGAAAUUACAGAGUAUCUUCCUCUUUCCCGAAACAAUUCUGAACUAAUUGCAACAGAAACAUUUUAUUUGGUUGAGAUACAGAAAAUGAAGAAAACUUUAUUUUUCCUUUUUUUCCUUUUUUUCUUUUUUUUUUUUUUUCAGCAGUGCGGUGACGAGGAGCUGGUGUUCUGUGGCCCAACUAGGACUGCCCUUUCCUUUGGCUGUCGAGGACUGCACUCGAUGGGAAGAGUUCUGCUUGUAGCCCAUGUUGCUCAAGCAGGGGAACUAAAACAAGCACCACUCUGCCAACCCGUACAGGUUUUGGAUAAUCCUGUCAGCAAGGGAAAAACAGGAGUAGCUAUGACCCAGAAAUAAACAAGUAGAUGCUCACAGCAUUCAAAAGGAUGACUCCUUGUCUCCAGUAGUACGAAGUAGCUUCUGAUUUGAGUGAGAAGAUGGAAACUGGGAGGAAAGGGAAGUUGACGGUGCUCCUGCCAGCUGUUGGAGUGAUGCUGCAACACCCCAACCAGGGCUGGCUGCUGGAAGAACAACAGAGAAGCGAGGUGUGAGAGUAUUAUUGGCCAUGGAAGUCCUUCUUUGUUGUAUAAACUUUUUUUUUUUUUUUUUUAAUGUCAGUAUACUUCCUUUUUUAGGUUACCAUGACACUGAGAGAACACUGAACUGCAUUUUGAAACAGGCUUCCUGGUCCAGCGGUACUGAAUAUAGGCUGAUACCUCAGACAAGGUAAGUAAAGCCGGGAGAAAACAAGAAUCCUUCAUCCCCAAAGGAGAUGGGGGAAUGGGGUUGCUUCAGCACUCCCUGUCACAUGGAGGAGGAAGGUGGGGAGUUGCACGGGUUCUGAGUCUGAACAAAAGCAGGUAGUCACCUGUGACUACUUGGAAGAGGUUUUGCUGGAGGGCCCUUAUGAGCACAGCUUGAUGCUAGUUCUCUUGGCCUCUCCCUUGGUGCUGAUGGCUGUAACUCUGGGUGUCUAGGAAGAAAAUGAUUUCAGUCACUAUUUUGUCCCUUGAAAAGCUUUAUCUGAUAAUCAAAUUUAUGAUUUGCUUAGUAACAUAGAAAAGCUUCAGUUGGGACUGUAA